UACAGAGGCCUCGAGCGUUAGGCGGAAUCACUGGGCUUAAAGCGUGUGUAGGCGGACUUGUAAGUACCUUGUGAAAGCCCACGGCUCAACCGUGGAGGGUCAUUGGAAACUGGGGGACUUGAGUGCAGGAGAGAAGAGUGGAAUUCCACGUGUAGCGGUGAAAUGCGUAGAGAUGUGGAGGAACACCAGUGGCGAAGGCGACUCUUUGGCCUGUAACUGACGCUGAGGCGCGAAAGCGUGGGGAGCAAACAGG
rnacentral:rRNA from 1 species